GUGAAGAGGGGCCUUAUGUCUAUGACAGUGGUUGCAAAAGUGAUGUCUGCAUCUAAGCAGCAGAUAGAACUCUAUUUGUUGGGGAGGUGUGGCCCGAUCCUUGUGUAUUCCCCAAAUUUACACAGUCAAGAGUCCAUCGCUGGUGGGCUCAGUUAGUUCAAGAUUUCAUUUCUAAUGGAGUCGAUGGUAUAUGAAACGAUAUGAAUGAACCAUCUUAUCGUUAAGACCAUGCCCGAGAGCAACAUUUAUAAAAGAGAUGAUGAACUUGGAGGUCUCCAUAAUCACUCACACUAUCAUAAUGUAAUUUUCCAG